rnacentral:rRNA from 1 species
UACGUAGGGUGCGAGCGUUUGUCCGGAAUUAUUGGGCGUAAAGAGCUUGUAGGCGGUUUGUCGCGUCUGCUGUGAAAAUCCGGGGCUCAACCCCGGACUUGCAGUGGGUACGGGCAGACUAGAGUGUGGUAGGGGAGACUGGAAGUUCCUGGUGUAGCGGUGAAAUGCGCAGAUAUCAGGAAGAACACCCGUGGCGAAGGCGGCUCCUCUGGGACGGUACUGACGCUGAGACGCGAAAGCGUGGGGAGCGAACAGG